rnacentral:rRNA from 1 species
CACGUAGGAGCCAAGCGUUAUCCGAAUUCACUGGGCGUAAAGCGCGUGCAGGCGGCUUGAAAAGUUGGAUGUGAAAGCUCCCGGCUCAACUGGGAGAGGACGUUCAAAACUAUCGAGCUAGAGGACGGCAGAGGGAGGUGGAAUUCCCGGUGUAGUGGUGAAAUGCGUAGAUAUCGGGAGGAACACCAGUGGCGAAGGCGGCCUUCUGGGCCGUUACUGACGCUCAGACGCGAAAGCUAGGGGAGCGAACGGG